rnacentral:pre_miRNA from 1 species
AAAAAGACAAACCCUGAUUUCCGUGUCCAACGUUUGACUGUCCGUCUUAUUUAAAAAAAAUAUGAAAAAAAAUUAAAAAGACAAGUCACGCAUAAAAUAUUAAUCAUGUUUUAUCAUUUAACAAUAAUAAAAAUACGAAUUAUAAAAAAAUUUCAUAUAAAACGGACAGUCAAAGUUAGACACGGAAAUCUAGGUUUUGCUUCUU